UACGUAGGGGGCAAGCGUUGUCCGGAAUCAUUGGGCGUAAAGAGCGUGUAGGCGGCCAGGUAGGUCUGCUGUGAAAACUCGAGGCUCAACCUCCAGCUGUCAUUGGAAACCAUCUGGCUAGAGUCCGGAAGAGGAGAGUGGAAUUCCCGGUGUAGCGGUGAAAUGCGCAGAUAUCGGGAAGAACACCCGUGGCUAAGGCGGCUCUCUAGUACGGUACUGACGCUGAGACGCGAAAGCGUGGGGAGCGAACAGG
rnacentral:rRNA from 1 species